UGGGGAAUAUUGCACAAUGGGCGCAAGCCUGAUGCAGCCAUGCCGCGUGUGUGAAGAAGGCCUUCGGGUUGUAAAGCACUUUCAGCGAGGAGGAAGGCGUUAAGGUUAAUAACCUUAGUGAUUGACGUUACUCGCAGAAGAAGCACCGGCUAACUCCGUGCCAGCAGCCGCGGUAAUACGGAGGGUGCAAGCGUUAAUCGGAAUUACUGGGCGUAAAGCGCACGCAGGCGGUUUGUUAAGUCAGAUGUGAAAUCCCCGAGCUUAACUUGGGAACUGCAUUUGAAACUGGCAAGCUAGAGUCUUGUAGAGGGGGGUAGAAUUCCAGGUGUAGCGGUGAAAUGCGUAGAGAUCUGGAGGAAUACCGGUGGCGAAGGCGGCCCCCUGGACAAAGACUGACGCUCAGGUGCGAAAGCGUGGGGAGCAAACA
rnacentral:rRNA from 1 species